rnacentral:rRNA from 1 species
GACGAACGCUGGCGGCGUGCCUAACACAUGCAAGUCGAACGGAACUGUUUUGAAAGAUUUCUUCGGAAUGAAUUUGAUUUAGUUUAGUGGCGGACGGGUGAGUAACGCGUGAGUAACCUGCCUUCAAGAGGGGAAUAACAUUCUGAAAAGAAUGCUAAUACCGCAUGACAUAUCGGAACCACAUGGUUUUGAUAUCAAAGAUUUUAUCGCUUGAAGAUGGACUCGCGUCCGAUUAGUUAGUUGGUGAGGUAACGGCUCACCAAGACCGCGAUCGGUAGCCGGACUGAGAGGUUGAACGGCCACAUUGGGAAUGAGACACGGCCCAGACUCCUACGGGAGGCAGCAGUGGGGGAUAUUGCGCAAUGGGGGCAACCCUGACGCAGCAACGCCGCGUGAAGGAUGAAGGUUUUCGGAUUGUAAACUUCUUUUAUUAAGGACGAAAAAUGACGGUACUUAAUGAAUAAGCUCCGGCUAACUACGUG